rnacentral:rRNA from 1 species
UACGUAGGGGGCAAGCGUUGUCCGGAUUUAUUGGGCGUAAAGAGCGUGUAGGCGGCCAGGUAGGUCUGCUGUGAAAACUCGAGGCUUAACCUCGAGCUGUCGGCGGAAACCAUCUGGCUAGAGUCCGGAAGAGGAGAAUGGAAUUCCCGGUGUAGCGGUGAAAUGCGCAGAUAUCGGGAAGAACACCCGUGGCGAAGGCGGGUCUCUGGACAGUUCCUGACACUGAGGCACGAAGGCCAGGGGAGCAAACGGG